rnacentral:siRNA from 1 species
AGGUGUAGGUGUUGAGCUCGAGGC